rnacentral:rRNA from 1 species
UACGUAGGGUCCGAGCGUUGUCCGGAAUUACUGGGCGUAAAGAGCUCGUAGGUGGUUUGUCGCGUUGUUCGUGAAAACUCACAGCUUAACUGUGGGCGUGCGGGCGAUACGGGCAGACUUGAGUACUGCAGGGGAGACUGGAAUUCCUGGUGUAGCGGUGGAAUGCGCAGAUAUCAGGAGGAACACCAGUGGCGAAGGCGGGUCUCUGGGCAGUUACUGACGCUGAGGAGCGAAAGCGUGGGGAGCGAACAGG